AAAGCCUUCACUUCACGUGAUCCAGAAGAUGUGGUAGUAUCGCCCGUUUAUUCCUCCGCAUAGACUGAUCUCGCUGAUUGAUGGAUUUCCUUCUCCCUCUUCAUCUUCUCAACCGAUGGAGCUGCCCCACAGCCAGGCCUCCACACCCUUUGCUCUUGAGGAUUCAGUCUCUGUCAGAAGUUGGUGUGCCGGAGCGGAGGAAUCUGAAUCCCAGCUAGACAGGGUAUUUUGGAUUUCAGUUUCGUCAUGCUUCAAUCCUGGCACCGUAUCAGCCUCGGCUGGGUUCAAUUAUGUCCUCGACAUCACAGUCCAUAAUAAGAUAGAUAGAAAUAUCUGAGCUGGCAAAAUCUGAGAUCUGCACUGGUGGGAGCCUUGUGAUGCUUCCCUCGAUCAAGCAUGUUUCUAUAGUUGAAUGCACAGCAGUGGAGAAUGAUCUAUAGUUGAAUGUUCGGCAGUGGAGACUGUUCUAUAGUUGCACACUGCUACAUGUCUUAGUGUUUCUAUAGUUGAAUGCUCGGCAGUGGAGAAUGUUCUCAUGCACGUGCUUCUCUGGGAUGUAAGAGUGUGAAGACAACAAGGACCCUGUACUAUUUCUGGUCUGGCGAUAGAUGUUAUCAUUUUUUCCACCUAUGCUAGAA